rnacentral:rRNA from 1 species
GAUGAACGCUAGCGGCAGGCUUAAUACAUGCAAGUCGAGGGGCAGCACAGAUAGCAAUAUUGGGUGGCGACCGGCAAACGGGUGCGGAACACGUACACAACCUUCCUUUUGGUGGGGGAUAGCCUUUGGAAACGGAGAUUAAUACCCCAUAAGAUAUUGGAAUCGCAUGGUUUUGAUAUUAAAGAUUUAUUGCCAGAAGAUGGGUGUGCGUAUGAUUAGGUAGUUGGUGAGGUAAAGGCUCACCAAGCCGACGAUCAUUAACUGGUGUGAGAGCACAACCAGUCACACGGGCACUGAGACACGGGCCCGACUCCUACGGGAGGCAGCAGUAAGGAAUAUUGGUCAAUGGACGGAAGUCUGAACCAGCCAUGCCGCGUGGAGGAUGAAGGUCCUCUGGAUUGUAAACUUCUUUUAUAUGGGGCGAAAAAGGGCCAUUCUUGGUCAACUGACGGUACCAUAUGAAUAAGCACCGGCUAACUCCGUGCCAGCCGCCGCGGUAAAAC